ACAACAAGCUUCUUAUCACAGGCCUGACCAUAGGCACUGGCUUGAACAAAAAGAACAUAGAGAGGUGGUGGCAGGUGUCGGGCUGUCUCGUACUGCUUGUGUGCUUGGUCGAAAGGCAUGAAGAGGUACUCCUGGACAGGCAGGGAGGCCUGCAUAAUGCUGUUGAGGCGAGGCUGGAGGCUGCUCAGAUACUCCUUUUUCACUUCAAUCUCCUUUAGGAUCUUCUCCUUGAUGGUCUGGCAUUCCUUGUACCUCUCUGCCAGCCUCUUACGCUGCUCCAGUUCCCAGUCCAGGCGGGCAAGGGUCUGCUGGUGGGGUUCAGUCAGGGUGAUGUCAGGUCGACUGAUUUCAGUGGGAGCCUCACUGUAAAACUCCUCCAGGCUCACCAGUUCGAUCUCCUCAUGCUUUGAUUUGAACUCCAGGCAUUUGGUGAUCUCUUUUUGUAGAUGCAUCACUUCAUAAAGCAAAUUCUGGAGCUGCAGGUGAUAGGCAUCAACCUUCUGCUUUGCCUCAUGGGUCUGAUCACGGCCCUUCUUCAGCCGAAUGUGA
rnacentral:lncRNA from 1 species